UGGGGCUGCCGGGAAGGGGCGGCGGCUCCCUCAGAGCCCCUUCAGAGCCCCCCCAAGGGGACGAUGGCGGCCCAGGCGUGUAGCCCUCCAACGGCACCUUCCUGCCCGUGGCUGCCCCGCCUGCCCCCGCCGCAGGUUCCCCCUGCCCGUCCUGUGAGGAGCUGGAUUAGCCAGGGCGGCCAGCGGCACCUCAGUUCUAGGGUCGUGUUUGGGGGCUGACAGCCCCUCCUGCAGCUGUGGUUCUUGCUCAGAAUUCAUUAAUUCCUUCAGAGUCACAUCACACCAUCUGCAAGUCACCUCCCUAGUCUUUCUGGACCAUCCACAGCAGAGCCUGGGAAGAUUUUCUGCCCGUGAUUCUCAGAGGUAUCUAGUCAGUUCCCAGAGCUAAGUUCCUGGUGAAGAUGUGGCAGAUUCACUGGACCACAGUUUUGCCAUGCUCUGAACAUCUGCUGUGUUGCACUCCAGAUGCGGCUGCAUUUCACAGGCAGCGUGCCAGAGGAAAGAGCAAGGAAGAGAGAGCCAUGCUAACAUACAGAGCUGUCUCACGGAGAUUUUGCUUAUGGUUAGUUCAUUCGUGUAAUCUAAAAUGAAUGUUAUGCUGACUGACAGCAUCCGUUUGGUCUUAGUACAUGGAGGAA